UCACUUUUAAACCUUUUCUUUAAUUAAAUAUUAAUCAUCAACAUUUGAAUGACCUCUUUACCCCUCAAUCAGCUUCCUUCACUGUCAGUCAAAAGUCCAAGGCAGCCAGCAGGGGGCGAUGUGCAUGAGAAAUCUAAACUCGUCUUUGCUUUUCGGGUUUUUACAAGCAACCACAAACACUCUUACACCUCUGUCAGUCACAGGCAGAUUUUGCUACCAAUCCUGCAGGAUUCAUUUAUAUUGGAAAAUAUUCCCUUUUUCAAAUCAUCAUUGCCCCCUCCCUGCCCUCAAUGGAUUUUAAACAUCCAUUGGAUUUUCUCUACACCUUAUUUUUAUCUUACGCUCAAUGCAAAGAUUUUUAUACAUAUGUCGUAAAUGUGGGUGUGAAUAUAUGCAUACUGUACAUACAUUUCACUUUAGACUUGGUAUUUAUUGCUCUGGAGUACAGAAAUCAAUCACAAACCAUGAUUUAAAAGUAGUUUGCUAGAAGCAAAAAUAACAAAGUCUUCAAUGCAAAAGCGCAAACGGCUUGAAAUACACUCAGCUGAUUUGUUUUUCUUAAACCCUGAAGCUGGCUGCACCACUUGUUGGUUUUGUUUUGCUUUGCUUUCCAAAUACCUGUGCACUUGUUGAAAUUUACAACGUUUUUUGGGAGGUUGCCUGGUAGCUUUAGCAACACACUACAAUGCUUUGCUGCUGCACUGACACAUUUAUGGCACUCAGCAAUGAACUGAUAGCCCUGCUCUAAUGUUGAACUUGUGUAACAGGUCCUUAACAAGCUGGGUUGUCUGCCAACAAAACACUUAGACUGGAGCCAGAGAAUUAUACAGAUCCUAGGUCAGUGUUUCGGUAGAGCUGAUAGUAAUUAGAUUAAAUUGCCAUCAUCUUACUAGCAAACACUGUUGAACACAUCCAAAUAUUAUAAAUGACAAUGAAUUGAGAUUGAUCUACUACCAUGGUUCUGCCUUUUGUGGCACAUAGCAACAUUUACAUUUAUAGUGUAAAUGAGUGUGAGUGUGUGCACUAUCGUAUGUUAUCAAAUGCCGGCAAAACUGGAGCUGCAUGUCUAGACUGACAAGGAUACACCAAAAUUCUAUGGCUCGCUUGGAUCAAAUAAUUUUUCAGUAUAACAAUAACCAAUGAUGCACAACACACAUAAAACAUUUUUAUAUGUGGUGCAGCUUGGGGGGUUCAGUAGGUAGCACUGAUGUUUACUGCCUCAAGCGUUGGGAGUUAAUAUCUUGCCUCCACUCACUAUUUGUUGAGUUUGCAUCUCUCCAUGUCAUGUGGGUGGCUAUGAGUAUCUGCAUUUAUGUGUGAUGCAAUGGACAGCCAUUUCAACCAGGAUGUAUCCCAACACCGUGUUCUGUACUGUGUGAACCCUCACAAUCCUGACCAGGAUAAAUGCUUGGAAGACUGAUGGAUGGAAGUUUGUGUGACACCGCAAGAAUGCAUUCACCCGCCCAAAGCCCUCGCUCACCGUGGCCUCACACACCCACUGCCUGUUCAGGACAGACCUGUUUGGGAACACCAACGGUUAUGCAACCUGCGCAUGGUGGGGAGGUGGCACGCUCAUCUUCUGCAUCAGCAAUUCCAAUCCUGUUAAAAGACUCGAUAUAUAUGGGCUUUUCAAUCAGCUCAAUCAUCUCGGAUGAAUGGAUCCAGCUAGACUAAUCUACUACACAGCUGCCUUUGAGAAACCAACUUAUCCCGGAUGAGUUUCACCGGCAUUAACUCAUCCAAGAUGAGGCAUCUGAACUCUGAUUUAAGCGACGUAUGAAAAAUACCCCCCUGGUCUCUGUAGAGGAGCACCCUCUCAGAUCCUUGUGCAAGAGGACACAAACCCCUGCCACACUGGGACCCAAACCCGGUGUCCUCUGGGGGCCUGAAGCCCCAGAGUAUUCAGGAGAGCCACUCCCAGUUGACAUCAACAAAUGGUACAUAACGCUAACCCCUACCACGCUGGUGACCUUCUCCAAAAUAAAAGAAUAGAAUAACAGAUUAUAAUACAUACAUAAAGUAAAAUAACUGAUUAUUUUAGGUUAUUAUAGCGAUAUGGAUAAGAUACGUUUUUAGCCUAGUUUUCAAAGUACCAAGACAUUCCGUAGCUCAGUUGACUAUUCUGUAUUUUGUACAUAUUUUUAAACAUUAUGUGUUUUUUUUUCCUAUGUUGUGUUUUGAUUGUACGACUUGUGUUGUUGGAAUAGAACCCUGGGAGUUGCUAUCCCAGUCUUGUUGUACUGUCAUGUACAAUGACAAUGAAGAAUUUAUUCUUGAAUCUUGAAUAAAUGACUGUAAAAAAUACAAAUAUUAUUAGCAACAAUGAACAUUUUUACUAAAUUUUAAAACAUUUCUUCUUCAUUUCUGUCCCCAGGAAAUAGUUUUCUGUGUGCCUUUUUUCUAACGAGGUCUACGUGCUGUCAUGUAACAUUUGGACAUAAGGCACUUCACAGCUAAGAAUAUCUAGAAGCUACAAUGGAUUUUGUUUAACUAACAUGACAGGCAGCUUUAUGAGCAAAACCUCUUCCUCAGACGCCCUUUCAAUACUGGUAUACAGGAUUCAGAGCAUCUACAUGACAAUAACACCCACGACAUACAUCUGACUCAACGGUCUUUAUGAACCUGAUGCAGAAAAAGAUGAGGGGAGGAGAAUUAAGCCCAGAUACCUCAGUCUACCCCCUCCCCCUUCAGCAUUUUGACUUUACCUAAAAUGAGGCUUCAUUUGCCAUUUACACAAGUAUGAAAACUGGAUGCGUUUUUUUUUUCUCCAUAUCGCACCUUGCACUCCUUUUUAAGACAUACACAUAGAGAUGAGAGCAAUGGUGGAGGUCUGAGCUCAGGGUCAGCCAUUCAUUCAGUGCCCUAGAAGAAUUUUUCAGGUGAUUAAGAACCUCGCUGAAGGAUCCAACAGAGAUGUGACUACUCUGCUGAUAACAGGAUUUGAACCGACAACCUUCCAAUCGCAGGCACUGAGGCGCACAUGCACCCCC